AAAAUAUGGUCAGUAAUAAAUAAUAAAAAAAACUGGUAGAGCAAGAACUUGCGAAUAUAAAACUGAGUUAAGAGAAUUAUUAGGAAAAAGAAACAUAAUAGUAGUACCACUUGCUUUAUCAGGACGGAAAGGAUUAAUGCUCAAAGUCAAGAAAAUGAUUAUUCCAAUGAAAGAGAUAACACUUUGUCAAACUGUUCAGUUAACAAUAACACACAAUCUGAAUACAAUCCUGAUGUGGCAUCAAGCGAUAAAGCAGAAAUGGA